rnacentral:lncRNA from 1 species
GAAUUGCACACCCAAAAACAGAAACUUGCUCGCCAUGUCCGAGAUAAGGAAGAAGAGGUGGACCUGGUGAUGCAAAAAGUUGAAAGCUUAAGGCAAGAACUGCGCAGAACAGAAAGAGCCAAAAAAGAGCUGGAAGUUCAUACAGAAGCUCUAGCUGCUGAAGCAUCUAAAGACAGGAAGCUACGUGAACAGAGUGAGCACUAUUCUAAGCAACUGGAAAAUGAAUUGGAGGGACUGAAGGUAUCUUUUGACUUCACAUUUAUGAAGCUUAAUUGAUUUUCUUCUCUUUAGGCUUGUUAGGAGUGUUAGCUUGUAUACUGUAUUCGGUGUGCAGUGAAAACUAGCCUUUCUUCAAACCUACUAUUCAUAAUUCUCGUUCUUACCAGUAGGAAGCUAAUACAGAUUUCUUAAUUAUGCUGAAGAAAAUGGAGGACUAUGUUUAGUGGGAAAUAUGAAUCUAUCAGGAGGGAGUUAGAAUGUUUAUGCAGACCUACACAAGAUGUACUGGUAAUCUGCAUGGGAGUCAUGGUUAGAUAUCCAGACCCUCUAUAUAUCUCAUAAAUGACUC